UACAGAGGAUGCAAGCGUUAUCCGGAAUUAUUGGGCGUAAAGAGCUCGUAGGCGGUUUGUCGCGUCUGCCGUGAAAGUCCGGGGCUCAACUCCGGAUCUGCGGUGGGUACGGGCAGACUAGAGUGAUGUAGGGGAGACUGGAAUUCCUGGUGUAGCGGUGAAAUGCGCAGAUAUCAGGAGGAACACCGAUGGCGAAGGCAGGUCUCUGGGCAUUAACUGACGCUGAGGAGCGAAAGCAUGGGGAGCGAACAGG
rnacentral:rRNA from 1 species